UACUGAUGGCACCUGUCUCAUGUGCUAUUUAUGUUGUAAGUUGCUUCUUUUGCAACAACUAUGUGGAUGAAGGAGGGGUUCCAGUUGAGCAAGCCUGCUUUGUACCCUUCUACUUGAUUUGAAACUGUAGGGCUUCUUUCAGGGGUCCCUCCUACCACUAAUGUCUUCCUGAAGGACAAGUCUUCUUAAUGCUGUAGAGGAACACAUAGAAUGAAGAUUCGUUAAUGAAGGAUGGAGUAGCUGCAGUAUAUUUUGACAGAAAACACCAGGAGCAAUUUCUCUGGAAGCAUCCAUUAACUUCACAACACAGACCCUUAGUCCACAGGUAGUAUUUCACUACAAACAGUUAUUCAUGUUCCAGGACCAUGAAGAGAGGGAAGAAAUAUUUCUGCGUUCCCUUGAGCAUCAGGGUAAGCAUCUAUCUUUCAGCACAAUUAGUUGUCUAAUUGAGCAGUUGUAUUU